GUCGUUGUAGUAUAGUGGUGAGUAUCCCUGCCUGUCACGCGGGAGACCCGGGUUGAUCCCGGCAACGGCG
rnacentral:tRNA from 1 species